rnacentral:rRNA from 1 species
AUGGCUAGACAACGGUCAAGACUAGAAUGGCUCAGAGAGGGCAACCGUAACACUUCAUUUUUCCAUGCCCGAGCUUCUACAAGGAGAAGGAAUAACAAAAUAAAAGGUCUUCGGAAAGUUGAUGGAUCUAUGUGUGAGGAUCCAGGGGGAAUCAGAGGAAUGGUAUAUGAUCUCUAUUCCACACUCUUUACAUCUGAACCCACUGAUACAAUGGACGAGGUGCUGGAAGCCAUACCAACAAAGGUUAGUGAGGAAAUGAAUGAAGCUCUUUGUCGAGAGUACUCAAAUGAUGAGAUCAGGUCUGCGCUGUUCCAAAUGGGACCGACCAAGGCCCCAGGACCAGAUGGUUUCCCGGCGCUUUUUUAUCAAAAACACUGGGAUCUGUUGGAAGAGGACAUAUGUGCUGCUGUAAAGGAAUUUCUUAUGGGCCGUGACAUCCCGGAAGGUUUCUGUGAUUCGAAAAGGGAAGAAGCAGGGGAGCUGAAAGGCAUUUGUAAUGGUAGGAAGGGGCCAUCCAUUUCACAUCUCUUAUUUGCUGAUGACAUCAUUUUCUUCACUAGGGGAGAUGACAGAAGUCUUAAUGCUCUUAAAUCGGCGUUACAAACCUAUUGUGAGGGCUCCGGGCAGAAGAUCAAUUUACAGAAAUCAUCCUUAUUCUUUGGCCCACACUGUGAAGAACUAGUGAAAGAGAGAAUAAAACAUUAUAUUGGGGUACAAGAUGAUACAAUGCAUGCUACUUACCUUGGUAUGCCGACCUUGGUGGGACGUUCCCCAUAG